GGGUCCCAGAUCAGGUGAAAGCAAGGGAGGCUUUUGGGGUGUUAGUUUUUUUGUCUUAUUGGUUCUUCCCAUUGCUGACUUAGAGCUCAGCUUUUCUUGGAUCUUCUAAUUCAAUGGCUACAUGUCCAUCUGCUUUCUGACAUUUAAACUAAUGUUGUUUCAAAAUUUUGAUAGAUGAUAUUUUCAUUAUAAGAAAAUAAACUUCUAAAGNNNNNNNNNNUAAAUAUUGAAAUGUCCCUGCCUAUAAUUUCUACAAAUUUGAAAUGCCUGGUAUAAUUUAUUGGGUUUUAUCAAUGCGGGAAAUAUUUUUGUUGAUUUUCCUGUUUGGGAAUUUAUUACUACACAACGAACAUUGAUACUUUUUACCAUUUUGGGUGAUGGAUAAUAUUUCUUAUAAAAAUGCUCUUGAACUUUGUUCUGGGUAAUGAUUCAAUUAUAUAAACACAUUUGAUUUUUAGGGUAUUGCUUUGUUAGACAGGGUCAGAUUAAUGUUUACCCUAUUAUUAUUAUUUUUUCCACUAGUGAGACAAAAUCCUUUGGAAUGUUUUACCUGAUACACUGUGAAUUAUUACCUGCUCCACUACGGCUCAUGGAAACAAUAACUAUUCCCAGAUCUAGGUGUGCUCCCAAGAUUUUUCCCCCUUUUAUCCUUUCAGACAUUCUUUUCGUAGCCUCGGAUGGUUUCUUUCUAUGCGUACACUGAACACAACGACACUAACUACUCAUGGAGGUUCCUCUACAGACAUCCAGAGUCCUCUCUCUUUGCAGCUCUUUCCUCUGUAAUACUCCACUCUGUAAACCCCAGUUACCCUGACCUCCCUGAACUCUCAGCUCCCUCUANNNNNNNNNNUGUUUUUUUCUUAUUGAGUGGACUUUGGCAAUUUGUGUCUUUAAAUAAAUUGGUCUAUUUUAUUCAAGUUACUGAUUUUUCUCUGGUGUGUAUUUGUUUAUACUAUUUUCUUAUUUUAAUAUCUGUAGACUCUAUAGUGAUGUCACAUCUCAAAUUUCGAAUACUGUUGUGUUUACUCUGUUUUACUCAUUAUUCUGUUUAAAAGUUUAUGAAUUUUAUUGAUCUUUUCAAAGAACCACCUUUCAGUAUUAUUGAUUUCUUUUUAUUAUUUAUUUGUUGUUUUCUUUAAUCUAUUCUUAAUCCCAUUCAGUAUUUUUCUUUUCUGAGACAUUGCGGUUUUCCUCUCUAGAAGUUAGAUUUGAGUAUCUUUCAUACUUUUGUUUCUUUGCUUU
rnacentral:lncRNA from 1 species